UUUGACGACAAAUUUUUCUGACAGUCACCCGUAACUUGAACGUCAAGUUUUUGUAUAAUAUAUUGAUCACAUGAUGAAUGUUUUAACUCCAUAUUAAAGCAAGGUAUGAAUAAUUCAGCAAGUUCAACAUCAUGCAAAAGGAAACGUGAUGAUGAAGAUGAAUCAAACAGUGAAAACAAACCUGUGAAUGAUAAACAAGGCAACCCCUGUGUACAGUCACAGUCCAACAAAUGCUCAGUGAGAGAGGGGCAUUCCUGGUGGACUUGCAUGAUGUUAGAUAAUAUGCCAAUGUCCAUGACAAAACCUCAAAGAGUGGAUCAGAAUUCCUCCCAGAAAUAGUUUUACAAUUACUUCUUUAAUUUGUUUACAUUUGUCAAUUCGAAUUGACAUUAUAUUUUGUAUGCUUAUUUUGAACAACUUUGUUACUAUUUUUAGAUUUAUUUUAUCCCGUAAUAUGAAAAAUGUAGAUUGUACUUACAUGAAAUAUAAAAACAAACAAUAGACUUUU
rnacentral:misc_RNA from 1 species